rnacentral:rRNA from 1 species
UACAGAGGUCUCAAGCGUUGUUCGGAUUCAUUGGGCGUAAAGGGUGCGUAGGCGGCGCGGUAAGUCGGGUGUGAAAUCUUGGAGCUUAACUCCGAAACUGCAUUCGAUACUGCCGUGCUUGAGGACUGGAGAGGAGACUGGAAUUUACGGUGUAGCGGUGAAAUGCGUAGAUAUCGGGAAGAACACCCGUGGCGAAGGCGGCUCUCUGGGACGGUACUGACGCUGAGACGCGAAAGCGUGGGGAGCGAACAGG